GACGAACGCUGGCGGCGUGCUUAACACAUGCAAGUCGAGCGGUAAGGCCCUUUCGGGGGUACACGAGCGGCGAACGGGUGAGUAACACGUGGGUGACCUGCCCUCAGCUCUGGGAUAAGCCUGGGAAACUGGGCCUAAUACUGGAUAUGACUCCACGGUGCAUGUCGUGGGGUGGAAAGCCUUGUGCGGCUGAGGAUGGGCCCGCGGCCUAUCAGCUUGUUGGUGGGGGAUGGCCUACCAAGGCGACGACGGGUAGCCGGCCUGAGAGGGCGACCGGCCACACUGGGACUGAGACACGGCCCAGACUCCUACGGGAGGCAGCAGUGGGGAAUCUUGCGCAAUGGGCGAAAGCCUGACGCAGCGACGCCGCGUGAGGGAUGACGGCCU
rnacentral:rRNA from 1 species